UCCUUCCUGCCUCUCCGCCCAUCCCUUUGUUUGCCCAGGCUGCUGUCCUGGCAAACAGCAGGUGCUGGGGUCAGAACAACAGUGUCCCUCUGCAGACUGAGCCCAGAUGGGGAGUCAGGACUCAAUCACGCAAACUCCAGCUGGGCCAGGACAGCCUCACCCGAAGGCAGCUCGGGCUGCAUCCAGAGUAGAAACCACUGCAGCCCAGAGGGAUAAGGAGGAGAUAAACAGGGGAAGGCGGCGGACAAUACAGCCACUAUGUCAGUGACCUGAGUCGAGGGACCUUACCUCCCCCAGGGCACACAAAGGGGUCAGUGACAAGGACAGAGACACCGAACUCUAGCAACCGAAACUGGAUGGGGAUAAAGUGUUGCUGAAACUUUAGGACCUGAAGCCUGUAAGUCACAAACCAGUGUCACAUGAUCUCAACCUUAAAUCUUUGACCUUAUGACCUCCUGACCUUUGACCUUUAGGCGUAAGCCGCAAUAUGCAAGCUAAGAGAAGUCAGGGUGACCUUAAAAUGUAAAAUCGAGCCUGUUUACAGUGAAGAAUCAGAAACUGAGGCAUUAAAGGCGUCAUGUGACUUGGCCAAGGUCAUCUAGUUACUGAAUGAGCAUCAGUCUUCGGACCCAGCUGCUCAGAAUCUAAAGCCUCCCUCUCUGUGCCUCGACGUCACUGCUCUUCACAUGAGAAUGUCAUCCCAGAUGUAAUCAUCCCAGAUCAGCAUGGAGGAAGUCAUGAUAGUCCUCCUCAAGGUUUGCUACGUGUCCAGCAAACACGCCAGGCUUUAAAUUCACUGCCGAGUUCAGCCCUGUUAACGUCCAUCAGGCAGGGUAUUACUGUGUCCUGGUUUUCCGAUGGGACGCAGAGCUCAGGAAGGCUGGUGACUUACUUGCCCAAGGUUGUGGAGAAAGUCAGGACAGAAAGCAGGGCACACGUAGAGUGCAAAGCCCCAGGAACUAACGAUGAAGCUAAUCUCAUCCCGAUUUGACGUAGCCGUCCACUCACCCUGUGUGUGAACACAUCUCGCGUCUGAGACCAUUUGCAGCGUAGGCUUUGAGUUUCUCGUCUUGGACCCCAGGAACCCAAGUGCCUGUGUAAAGAUCAAACUCAUAGCUUCAUCUCAUAGCUCACUGUCUAAAGGGGCUCUUAACCCACAGAGUUGAAUCAUGACCACAUAGACUGUUCCUGAACUUUCUAGUUGUCCUUUGUGAAGGCAUUACCUAAAACACAUCUGCCUGGAUUGCACCCCGUCCCAGCUCAACUGGACUGACUGUCUACAUCACGAGGCCAUAUCCUGGUCCCUUAAGGAAAGGACUCUGUCUGAGUUAGCUUCAGCUAAUGUGGUCUCAGUUUCUUCACAUGUAACGUGAGGUUAUCUCCAAAGCCCCUGUGUCCAGCUUCCUGUGGAUUCACCAUGCAUGCAUCUGGUGAAUCUGAAAAACAAAACAAAACAAACUCCUGGUCGUGACAGACCCCUGGAACAAUGCCACAGUGUCGUGGGCUCUCGGUCCACCUCUUAGGAGGUUUGUUCAGACAGCGUUCGCCUUUAUCAGUGCUGCCCAAGACAUCACCCCCGGCUCAGUGAUUUCAGAUUUCACCCUUGUGUUAUGCUCUGGAUGUUGUGGGCUAGAAUACAGUGGGAAUCAUUCUUAGUUCCCUGAUGCUGAAUGCUUGGCUGAAAACAAGUCAGAGGCUGGGGAUGAAGCAGGGGCUGUGCCUUGGUUUCUUUUUGCUGCUAUGACAAAAUAAGCAACAGAAAUAGAGACUGAGAGAGUAAUGACAUGGACUUGGGAAGCAGUUAGGUCUGCAGCCAGCUCCCUCCUGACUCCCCCCAGUCAACGGCUUCCAUGAAUUCCCUGCUUAACAAAAGCGGCCCUGAAUGGCUGCCCUGCCUCGCCAUGCUGCCUUGGAGCCAACUGAGUGUGGACUGAAACCUCCAAGAACUGUAAGAAGUAAACCAUUUUUUCCCUAACUUUGGGUGUCAGCUUUCGUUUCUCAGUGACUAGUAAAAGUAACUAAGCAGGUAUCACAAGGAAAAUUAACAAUGGCUGAGAAGCGAACCCCAUCCUGCCUCUGAACCUCUUGUACCCUCAUAUUGUUUUACCCAUCAUAAUUCAGGCUUAUUUACUCAUAGCUGAGAACAUUAUUAAUGGACACUCAAGACUGCCAGCAAGCAGGACAUGGUGAUCAAUGCCUGCGAUCUCAGCAUGUGGGAGGCUGAGGCAAGAGGACAACCUGGACUAUUGAGUGUGAUGGGUCUUUAAAAAGACUAAGAGCAUUGUGUGAAAAUUCUUUUCUCCUUCUUAAAAUGAAAUUUCAAAAGGGUCGCCAAAUUGAAUAUUUUUUCUAAAAAUUUGUAUUGUCCUUGGCUGGUUAUUUACUUAAUAUUGCUGGCAGAAAAAUGGACUUCUCUCACUUUGGGGUCAUUGUGGAUUAAAGAGCCAAUCUGGAUGCUAUUAAUAAAAAAGUCUUUUAAAGUUUUCCAAAAUAGAAAUAUUCAAGCUCAGCUGGGAAACUAGGGCUUUGGCAACUCCAAGAAUUGUAACAAAGAGGAACUGAAAUGCUAACCCUAACAUAAAAGCCAGAAAAGGAGGAAAGCUCCUACAAGCAUCGCACAAAAAGGAAGAACAUAAACCCAGCAGACACACAGACAAUUUCCAAGUCCAUGGGGCUUGCUGGAAAGCCACAUCUGAUGUCUAGAAUGUCCCCCGUGAAGGCUUGGGUGUUCUGAGGCAGAGCUUGUGGAACGAAACUGGAUCUCAGCAGUGCUGUUCUCAUCAUGGAUUCAUCUAUGGAUGAGGUCAGAAUUGAAUGUGAUGCUGGGAGGUGGGCCUGGUCAGAAGAGGGGUCACUGUGGGUGUGAUUGUGAGGGUGCAUUGUCUCCAUCACCCUCUGCUGUGCCUUUCCACUGGGCUGUUUCUGCCUUGAACCAACUGACUGUGGACCAAACCGAGUGAGCCAAAACCUUCAAAUUCCAAGUGUGGGACGUUAUGUCCAGCAGUGAGAAAGUGACUAAGACACCAUCCCUGGAGAGUGAAUGGUCCCAGUGGAAACUCAGCCCGGGAAGUCUUGGCAAUGCAGACUGCAGUGGAACCAAUCCAAUGACAGAAACCCUUGUAUUAAUUAUAAAAAUGAGGUCCUGUCAACUGUGACCAGCAAGCCCACUGUGACCUGACACUUCUCCUGUGUGGUUCAUGAGCGAGAAUUGCUUUUCCUUUUAUAAGUGGUUGAAAAAUAAUCACAAGGAGAAUACUGUUGGGUGACAUGUGGUCAUUAGCAAAAAUGGGAAUGACGUUAUUAAUAUGUAAGCUACGCUCACUCCUUUACAAAUUAUCUGCAGCCACUUUUGUGCCACAAUAGCAGAGCCCAGUGGUUGCCACUUGAAGGCCUGCAAAACUCAAAGACAGACUGCCUGACCCUGCAGAAAAUGUGUUGCCCUGCUAUACAAUUUGCAACCUGAGCCAUCACACCUCCCACAAGAUACCUUAAUAGUGCAUCGAAUGUCGAGCAGGAAUCAGGCAGUUAAGCAGGAGGAGGCAGGAUGCUGAUGCAAAGCCAGGUCCCCACAUCUUCUUAGGAGGUGGUUGUUAAAAUAAUAUGACAAAAUUAGGUCAGUAAUGAACAAUACUGGGAAAUUUGAAGCGUAUUGAAAAGUAUCUGCAAAAUAAAAGAGAAAAAAGUAAAAGACAAUAAAAUUGCCUUUAAACAC